rnacentral:misc_RNA from 1 species
UCGGUAUGCCAACUAUCUAGUUCGUCCGCGUGACGAAACCGACUGGCGGGCGAGGGAGAUCCAGAUGUGUGGAAGUGAUCUACGAGCCAUCUUUGAUAAAACGACUGGCCAUUGCCACUUCUGCGGAGAUCCACUUGUAUUUGACAAUCGGGGAUGGGUGAAAGAGUGUGACGGGCAUUGGGAGGUAGAUCAUGUUAUUCAACGCAGUAAAGGUGGCGCAAAAUCAGCCGAAAACUGCCUCGCCGCAUGUACGCGAUGUAACCGGUUGCGGUGGAACCGAACUGGAGAGGUAAUGCGCAAGUUGUUAUUGCUUGGGGUAAUCGCCACUGA